rnacentral:rRNA from 1 species
GCAAGUCGAACGGUAACAGCAGAGCUUGCUCUGGCUGACGAGUGGCGGACGGGUGAGUAACGCGUAGGAAUCUACCCAGUAGCGGGGGAUAGCUUGAGGAAACUCAAAUUAAUACCGCAUACGCCCCACGGGGGAAAGGCCGGGAUCUUCGGACCGGUCACUAUUGGAGGAGCCUGCGUUGGAUUAGCUAGUUGGUAGGGUAAAGGCCUACCAAGACCGCGAUCUAUAGCUGAUUUGAGAGGAUGAUC